GACGAACGCUGGCGGCGUGCUUAACACAUGCAAGUCGAACGGAGUGGCGAACGGGCGAGUAACACGUGGGUGACUUGCCCUGCACUUCGGGAUAAGCCUGGGAAACUGGGUCUAAUACCGGAUAGUGUGGGUUGGGCCCGCGGCCUAUCAGCUUGUUGGUGGGGGAAUGGCCUACCACGGCGGCGCCGGGUAGCCGGCCUGAGAGGGUGGACGGCGAAAUUAGGACUGAGGCACGGCCCGGACGCGUGCGGGAGACAGGGGUGGGGAAUAUUGCACAAUGUGGGGAAGCCUGGUGCAGCGACGCCGCGUGGGGGAUGACAGCCUUCGGGUGGUAAACGCCUUUCACCAUCGACGCGGUAGAUGGAGAAGAAGCACCGGCUAACUACGUGCCAGCAGCCGCGGUAAUUC
rnacentral:rRNA from 1 species